rnacentral:rRNA from 1 species
UACGUAGGGUGCAAGCGUUGUCCGGAAUUAUUGGGCGUAAAGAGCUCGUAGGCGGUUUGUUGCGUCGGCUGUGAAAUCCCGAGGCUCAACCUCGGGUCUGCAGUCGAUACGAGCAAACUAGAGUGUUGCAGGGGAGACUGGAAUUCCUGGUGUAGCGGUGAAAUGCGCAGAUAUCAGGAGGAACACCCGGUGGGCGAAGGCGGGUCUCUGGGCA